CCAGGGCGGAGGAAGUCAUUUUGAAGUAACCGGCCCGUAAUUAACACUUUUCAUUUGAGGUAUUAUCUCUGGCUGUCAUUCUACCGCAGGAUGUGAAACACAGUCCGCUACUGUCCAGCAGCAGUCGGCGGACGUGUCGCGACAGGAAUCGGGCGCAUCGGGACCGCAUGUCGCAAGGGAGAACGAGCAGAGAAGAAACGCAUGAAAAAAAAUCAAGGGACCCCAGAGGAAGACAAGAGAGCCCCUUCAGGACGAGUCGGCCAAAGGGGCUCCCCGGCCAAUGAGAGCGCGCUCACACCUCCUCCAUCUAGGCCCCUCUCCACAUGACCCAGUUGCUAGGAGACCUCAGAGGCCAUCCUCUGCCAUCUGCUGACCUCCUUCAGAUCAGAAUUAAUUGAACAACAAGCAUGUCCAAGUGCUGAGCCCGCGUGCUCUAACAGUUGACCAAGCACAAGCCGCACUUCGGCUCGCCUUCAUACCCGUAACGGCAUAAGGUUCUGCGCCGUACAGCAUAUUUCGGAAUUCUUGCCAUAAUGCGUCGUUGUCUGUUAAUGUAUGCGCACUUCCAAGAUGACGCGACAGCCCAGCAUGGAGAUUAGUCACUUCACACCUCCAGGUUCGCAGAUUUGAGUCUCGUCCCAGCUCUGUUCGAUGUCAGAUUUUCUGUGAUCCCCGUAUGACCUUUCUGGCUUUUUCGUCAUACUUUGCUUAAUUCCAUUAUGCCCAGGUAUAAACCGACGGCUCCAAAGUGUCAUCCCUUAAGCCUGGCAUCCUGCGUAUCUGUGAUCGCUUCGUACUGCCUAGACACCAUUGCAGUGAAUCACCUGUUCCUAAAGCAGAUUGGUCUCUGCAAGCAUUAGAGUGUUAUGGCUUGUUGGUAACAGCUUUCUGCUGUAAUGGAUCGCCUCUAGCUUGUCAGCUAGAUUAGGAGCACUGGGGCUCUGUGGUGGACUUAGUCCCUGCUCUUCGUCUCUCCAAUGUGCACUGUUAAUACUCCAGAUAGCUAUUUGUUCGCCAUGUAGGUCAUAGAUGGACAGAAAUUCAUAGAUGAAUAAUGGAGUGAAAGACUGAACCAAGUCCUCUCUACUUAAUGUCCCUAGAAAAACACUAUGGACUUAUGUGACCCAUCUCCACAAAAUGAGUCUUAAGUCACACUGGUAAAAAUACACCCAUAAGAUUCAUUUCGUAGUGAUGGGUCACAUAUGUUUAAAUCAAUUUCCCUUGGUUUUAACUGUCUGCAAAUUAAGUGCUCAUUGUCAGAAGUAAAAGAAUCAGAGAGUGGUCAAACCUAUAGUAUUUCUGACUUCCAACUUUCCUUUGCGGCUCUAAAUAGAAAGAACCAUUUAUUUUUCAUGGGAAUUGUCAAUCCCAAAGAUUUGUGUCUUCUGAUAUUAAAAUAUGACUGCUUUUGCUUG